rnacentral:misc_RNA from 1 species
AAAGAGGGCUGUAUGGAAAGAAAUGGAAGUUUAGCGAUCCGCCAUUGACAAAACCCUAUUUGCUGCAGAAUUCCCAUGAUCUCACCUGAUUUAUAGAAUAAUGAUAAAUAGUACCGUUGAUGACAACGGCCAUGCCCAACUUCCUGAUGAGCAGCAACAUCACUGCAACUGUUGCCAAUUUCAUAGUCAAAAUCAGCACAAGCCCGUAGCCGUACCCAAGUGCCUACCAAAGCGCAUAAUUUUGGUUCGUCACGGCGAGAGCGAAGGUAAUAAAGACGACGCUAUGUACACCAUCACCCCCGAUUAUAGGAUCCCUCUAACUCCCAAGGGAAUUGAUCAAGCCAAGGAAGCUGGCUCUCGCAUUUUUGACAUCGUUUCUGAUAAUGGUUCUGAGGAUAACUGGAAGGUCUACUUCUACGUUUCCCCAUAUGUGAGAGCACGUUCCACCCUACGGGAGAUAGGCAGGGCUUUUUCCAGACGGAGAGUUCUUGGCGUCAGGGAAGAAUGCCGAAUUAGAGAACAAGAUUUUGGUAAUUUUCAAGUGGCUGACCGCAUGAAAGUCAUCAAAGAGACUCGCGAGAGAUUUGGCCGCUUCUUUUAUCGAUUUCCUGAGGGAGAAUCAGCAGCUGAUGUUUAUGACAGAGUUUCCAGUUUUCUUGAGUCUCUUUGGAGGGACAUUGAUAUGAACAGGCUCCAUCAUGACCCUAAUGACGAUUUGAAUCUUGUGAUUAUAUCUCAUGGUCUAGCUAGUCGUGUGUUUCUGAUGAAAUGGUUCAAGUGGACAGUUGAG